CCCGGGCCGGGAGCCCCGGUUCCCCCGGGCGGGCAGCGGGAGCCGCUUGGGGCGUGCGGGGAGAGCGCUCGGGCGGCGGAAUUGCUGGCGUGGCCGGCUCGGGGGGGCGGGGGCGGCUCCGGCUCUUCGCGGGCUCUCUCGGCCCCGUCUCUUGCGCUCUGGAGAAAGCGGGAACUCUCUGGAAACGAGGAGACCGACUGAGCAGCAGAGGCAGUGCUGCUGUUGGGCGGCAUUCUUUAUUUCAUCAGCGCUGGGCAGCACUGGUAGAGACUUACAUCUGGGCAGGAACAAGCCCAGGUUCCAGUCUGAGCUGGGGAAGGACCUGUUGGAGAGCAGUGUAGGGAAAGGGACCUGGGGGUGCUGGGGACAGCAGGGUGACCAUGAGCCAGCACUGGCCCUUGUGGCCAGGAGGCCAAUGGGACCUGGGGGGGUUAGAAGGGGGUGGUCAGUAGGUCAGAGAGGUUCUCCUGCCCCUCUGCUCUGCCCUGGGGAGACCACACCUGGAAUAUUGUGUCCAGCUGUGGCCCCUCAGUUCCAGCAGGACAGGGAACUGCUGCAGAGAGUCCAGCGCAGCCACCAAGAUGCUGAAGGGAGUGGAGCAUCUCCCGUGUGAGGAAAGGCUGAGGGAGCUGGGGCUCUGGAGCUGGACAAGAGGAGACUGAGGGGGGACUCAUUCCUGGGGAUCAAUAUGGAAAGGGGCAGUGUCAGGAGGAUGGAGCCAGGCUCUUCUGGUGACAACCAGGGACAGGACAAGGGGCAAUGGGUGCAAACUGGAACACAGGAGGUUCCACUGAAAGAUGAGAAGCAACUUGUUCCUGGUGAGGGUGGCAGAGCCUGGCCCAGGCUGCCCAGGGGGUUGUGGAGUCUCCUUCUGUGCAGACAUUCCAACCCCCUGGACACCUUCCUGUGUAACCUCAUCUGGGUGUUCCUGCUCCAUGGGGGAUUGUACUGCAUGAGCUUUCCAGGGCCCUCAGGAUCGCUGGCAUUCUGUGAUUCUGUGAAUCAUCCUCCCCUCGUUUUGCAGGUGCUCAGAAAGCAUUUACCGUGUCCUUGGUUAACGAUGGGUGCGUCUGUUGUAAGUGAAUCACAGUGUACAUGAACUGAGCCGCUUCUCUCCACUCUCCAUCCCCAGCUGUGCUCUCAGGCGGGCAGCCCCGCUGGGGCCGAUGCCCAGUGAGGAUCCUGAUGUCGGCAACUUAGAAGCGCUGGAAAAAUCCCGCAGUGUCAGUGGGUCCCUGAGGCUGGCGGAGAAGGAGCAGGGAGCCGCGCUGGGGGCAGACGGCCCGGCAGCACAGCAGCCCCAGCCGGGUCCUCGCCCAAGGGGCUGCGCCGUGCGGGGUUUGGAGGUCAAGACAGCUGUUGCUGGGGCUGCGUUUUGCCCCAAACUGUGCUCUGGAGAGAGCUGAUGAGGGGCUUUGGCACAAGGUUGGCCCUUUUCUGAUGGAGAAGUUUGCAGAGUGCAAAUGUUUCAGGGAACCGGAUGGCAGUUCUGGGAGGAGGGAGGCUGGCCAGGACCUGCCAAGAGACCUGGAGCAGAGUAGAGGAGUGAUUCCGUGGAAUCACAGGAUCAUUUGAUUGGAAAAGACCCUCAAGACCAUUGAGUCCAACCAUAACCCACCCCCAGCACUGCCCCGUGUCCUGAGAACCUCAUGUCCGUCUGUCCAGCCCUCCAGGGAUGGUGACACCAGCACUGCCCUGGGCAGCCUGUUCAAUGCCCCACAGCCCUUUGGGGAAGAAAUUGUUCCCAGAUCCAAGCUCAACCUCCCCUGGCGCAACUUGAGGCCGUUUCAUCUUGUCCUAAACCCAGUAGUGUCAGAGGAACCAGAGCAGGAACCAGAGCUGUAGAGCACCUGCAGCAAAUAACCCAGUUUGGCUGCAGAGAGCAGAGCUGCUCCUGGGCUGGGAAACCGCUGGGCCUGGGGUGCGAUGAGCUGGGGGAGGAGGCGGCAGACGCGCGCAGGUGCCGAGGAAGGCAGAGGUGGUAGAUUCGAGUCUCUGCUGGCUUGGAGUUUGCGUCUCUUUCACAGCCACUCUAACGCUCUGCAGGCGUUUUGUGUUUGGGUAUUUUGGGUAUUGGAAUUUAUCAGGUAUGUGGUUUUUUCUCCCCUGUCUGAAGAGCCAAAGAACAACAUCAGCCUGCUGCGUGAGAAGCUGCUGCGGGCAAAGGAAAUCAAGGCAAGAAAGAAGACCCCGAGGGAGAACCGCCAGAACCUCCUGUAUCCAAACGAGCGUGGUCGGCAGGACAAGGGCAGUGACCCUUCCCCUGUGCUCUGCAUUGGGGAGGCCACACCUGGAGUGUUGUGUUCAGUUCUGGGCCCCUCAGCUCAGGAAAGAGAUUGAAGUGCUGGAGCGGGUCCAGAGAAGAGCAACAAGACUGGGGAAGGGACUGGAACACAAGACCCAUGGGGAGAGGCUGAGGGAGCUGGGCUUGUUUAGUCUGGAGAAGAGGAGGCUUAGAGCUGAGCUCAGCACUCUCUAGAACUACCUGAAGGGCAGUUCUAGCCAGGGGGGGAUUGGGCUCUUCUCCCAGGCAUCAGCAAUAGGACAAGGGGCCAUGGGCUUCAACUCUGCCAGGGGAAAUUGAGGCUGGAGAUUAGAAAGCAAUUCUUUGCAGAGAGAGUGGUCAGGAUUGGAAUGGCUGCCCAGGGAGGUGCUGGACUCACCGGCCAUGGAGGGUUUUAAGCUGAGAUUGGACAUGGCACUUAGUGCCAUGAUCUAGUGAACGGACUGGAGUUGGACCAAGGGCUGGACUGGAUGAUCUCUGAGGGCUUGUCCAACCCAGUCCAUUCUGUGAUUCUGUAAUGCCGAGCUGGAAAGAGCAGCGUGGCUCCGGACAGGCUUCCAGUCCUCCCGCAGUGUCAUCCCAGGCAGAUAAAGGCUCCCUGCGGACUGUGCUGCUCACAAACCCAGAAGUCGCCUUUCUCUGUUGCAGAAGGACGUUGAAGGGACGCGCGCUCGGAGCACCCGCGCUGGCUGGAGUGAGUACCGCACGGCAGAGCCGCGCUGCUGGGCUCGGGGAAAGCCCCGGCGGAGCGGGCAGAAACUCCUUCAACAGCGCUCGGGAAUACGGAUUUGCUGAGAUUUUCUGUGGUUCUCUGGUGCUCCUGCCAGUGCUGCUUCACGCCCAUGUUCUGGGUCCUGCUAAAGACGCAGGAGAUCAGGUGUUGCUGCUGUUUGGCUUUCAAAACGCUGAGUGUGAGGUUUUUUCCCAGUGAAAGCAGCCUCUGCUGUCUGUUUGCUUGUCAAACAGGGCGUAGGUUACGUCCCAACGGAGCCCAGAGUGAUGUGUGAUCCUGGGGGAAUCUGCUGGCCCUGGGGGAGGGAAAUGAACGGAUAUAUAGUGCAGUAAACUUGUGUGUGUUCAGGACGAACAUCCCAGGCAACGACAUGCAGUGGGGUAAGGAGAUCUGCCGCCACCUGCCCCCCUUCCCCGCCAUGGGCACUGGCUGCCAUCGCUUCAUCUUCUGCCCUUCAAGCCAGAACCGCCCAUCGACUCCAGCGAGGAUGUUGGCGCAGGCCCUGGUCACUGGGGCUGUUGCUGGGCGGUUCACGCUCUCUUGGCCAGGCUGUUCUUGCGUGUUCUGGUGACAAGGUCGUGACUGCUGGAGGAGAGCAAGUUCCUUGGAGUCUGCAGGGUUGCUCAGGGCUGCUCUGAGUUUGUGUGUCGCCUGAAGCCGCAAUCCCAGCCCUGCAAGCACUGUGCUGUCCUGUUGCUUUAAACCGGGCCGGUAAGAAAGUGGGUUUUUUCCUGCCUGGAGCAGGAAUGUGCAGAGGGCUGGGGAAGCUGGGAGGAGUUUCAAUGUGCCUUCCUUUUCCACCUCUGUUUUACAGACUCGGGGGUGCUGUGGGGAAGUAGUUGCCAGCCAGAGUGCUGCAAGAAAAGGGAAUCACCUCAGCUCUUGUGCUUGUGUCUUGUUUCCAGCCACAGGCUCGAGAUGUGAACCUUGCGCACGUGUGACUUGUACAGAAAGCACGAGGAUGCCGUGACCCCGGCAGGGCUGCCGUUCCAACAGUGUUUCGAUGUUACGUUCUAUGGAAAUGCCGUAGAACAAAUUGUGGCUGCUGUUGUUUACAAUUUCUGUAGCAUUUUUAGACAAUUUUCGAAGUCGACUCUCAUCAGAAAUCCAGGAUCUUGUGCUGACCUGCAUGUUGCUCCUUCUGCACGUUGUCCUCGAUUAAUGCUGACCUGAGGGAUUUAUCUGCAGCACAACACGGUGUAGAUACUAAAUCAGGUCUGGAAGCCAUCUCAGGAGAUGGAUUAGCUCGUCAUUGCACCAAAAAUAGAAGGAAUGCUACUUCCUUGUUUCCUGUGCUUAUGUAAUAAGGCACAUACGUGGUAGUAACAGAGCCCGUGGCCCCUGUACUUCAUGUGCUUAUAACAGAGUAAAAAUAAAUUGCU